rnacentral:tRNA from 1 species
GGGCGAAUAGCUCAGCGGUAGAGCACUCGCUUCACACGCGAGGGGUCGCAGGUUCGAAACCUGCUUCGCCCACCA